GGAUGGAUCAUUAACAAUCCUACCUUUUCUAACUUUGUGAACUGUUUCCCUGAACGACAGACAGUCAGCGGCUGCUUGCCUGCCUGCCAGCUUGCCUUCCGGGAGGCCUACAGGCUUCCUGGCGUGGGUUUGACCAGGCAAGACUGCUGCUGAUUGUCAGUCACGCUAUCUGCGUAUUUAAACCACUUAACUUACUGACAGUCCAAGUAACGGCAAGAGAAACAACUUUUAGCAACGGAUCUCUUGGCUCUCGCAACGAUGAAGAACGCAGCGAAAUGCGAAAUGUAAUGUGAAUUGCAGAUACCGUGAAUCAUCAAAUCUUUGAACGCACAUAGCACUGCCUGUGCUCCAGGCAGUAUACCUGUUUGAGUGUCAGUCGCCAUCUCCUCCUCGGGGCUAGUAGUCUCGUGGACGAGCAGCAGCUGGGUGAUCAUUGAUUGACCACAGUGUUGGUCGGUGCCACCUUAAAACAAGUGAGUUUCCAGACGCCAAUUAGCGACUGGCAGCCUUUGGCAGAGUUGAGGGCAUUGCCCAUCAUCAUACCUGUCUUGGAAGGAUGUCAGAAGCUGGUGUCGGGCAACCAACCACCACCAAACUAAGAACUUGUGUUCUUCAGUACUAGUACAGGCACGCUUGUGUGCUUGUGAAUUUGACCUCAAAUCAGGUAAGAAAACCCGCUGAACUUAAGCAUAUUAAUAAGCGGAGGAAAAGAAACUAACCAGGAUUCCCUUAGUAACGGCGAGUGAAGAGGGAACAGCUCAAAUUUGAAAUCUCCUUGGAGAAUUGUAGUUUGGAGAAGUGUCAUUGAUGGUGGCCUGGGUCCAAGUCCCUUGGAACAGGGCGUCAGAGAGGGUGAGAAUCCCGUCUUUGGCCUGGCAGUCACCACACUGUAAUGCACUUUCAAAGAGUCGGGUUGUUUGGGAAUGCAGCCCAAAGCGGGUGGUAUAUUCCAUCUAAAGCUAAAUACUGGCGAGAGACCGAUAGCAAACAAGUACCGUGAGGGAAAGAUGAAAAGAACUUUGAAAAGAGAGUUAAACAGUACGUGAAAUUGCUAAAAGGGAAACACUUGAAAUCAGUGCUGGGGGCGGGACUUGUCCUGUCUCCUGGUCAACAUCAGUUUGUGACCGAGUAUACCAGUGCAGGAAGGUAGCUCCGCCUGGAGUGUUAAGCCUGCACAAGGGCUCGGCCGUGGACUGAGGCCUGUAGUACAUGCUUCUGGCUGGUGAACCUGGUGCUGCCGGCGGGUGGUGACUUGGACAGCGUGCUGACCAAGCGCUUGACUGCUGGUACACACUGGGCUAGCACAAAUGUACUUUGGAUGUUGACGAAAUGGUUUUAAGUGACCCGUCUUGAAACACGGACCAAGGAGUCUAACAAAUGUGCGAGUGUUUGGGUUGCAAGCCCAGGCGCGGAAUGAAAGUAAUGAGGUGGGAUCCUUUGGGGUGCACCAUCAACCGGUCUGAAUUUUGUGAUAGAUCUGAGUAAGAGCAUAUCUGUUGGGACCCGAAAGAUGGUGAACUAUGCCUGAAUAGGGUGAAGCCAGAGGAAACUCUGGUGGAGGCUCGCAGCGGUACUGACGUGCAAAUCGUUCGUCUAAUUUGGGUAUAGGGGCGAAAGACUAAUCGAACCAUCUAGUAGCUGGUUCCCUC
rnacentral:misc_RNA from 1 species